rnacentral:lncRNA from 1 species
GCUUCACUAAUAAUUUAUCAGGGUGUCUUUUUCCCUUGUCUACUUUCCCAUUGUCUAUUUUGGCUUUUCCUCAUUUCUUCCAAUUUGCUGAGAAUGAGGUAAAAACUCUAGUUAUUUUAAUUUGUAUUUCUCUGAUUAUUAGUGAUUUGAAGCAAUCUCUUAUAUCAUUUUUAUCAUUUGCAAUUUAGCUCCACAUGAUAACAAGGUCAGUGACAAUCUAGAAUUUAUGUAGGAGAAGGCAACCAGGAAGGGUAGGUGACUUGAAGUUAUUCCAUGGAAAUCAAUUAGUGGACCUGGAGGAGGAGAGUCUUUCCCUGGAUCCUGCGUCAGCUUACAAUGUGGAAGUUCUCAACUAAGGCAAGGUUCAAAUCAUACCUCUCCAUGAUGCCUUGGUUCAACAAGAGAGGGAAAAGAAUUUGUUCAGCCCCAAAGGCAAAUUUCCCACUCAAACUGAUAGAUUAUUAUUUCUGGAUGAAGCUUUUAGAUUCAGACAGACGGUGUGGAAAUAAUAGACUGCAGCUGAUUCAGACACAAGAGGAAGAAACUGGGGCAGAGAGAAAUGAAAUGACUGGUAAAUGUCAGAGGCAAGAUUCAAACCCAGGUAUUCCUGACUUCAAGUCUAGCACUUUAACCACUGUCCAUGUUACUAAUUUGACAUCUGCUGAUGUAGUGAUGCCA